GUCUGUGGCAAGUCUCAGAAAAACAAAAUAAAACGUAAUAUAUAUAUAUAUGGCAGGAGAAUUCAAUUACGGGGAAUCGGCGGAAGGAAGAAAAGACCAGAGAAAGAUGUAGGAGUCGCAGGGGUGAUGGAACCGAAAUACUGAAAGUGCAACAGCGCACAUGAGGGAAAACUAGUAUCUGCUCCUUUUAACGCACGGAAUUAUAUUUGUGUGAAAAGAAAAGAGUAAACACAGGCAGAGAAGUGAAGGGAAGACCCACCUUCAAACAUACGAGGCAUGGUUUUCAUCUGUAGGAUAGUGGUGUAAGACGGCACCACUGGAGAAAGCUAGGUGACGGAGGUCUGGCAAUUUGGACCCAGGAACCCCAGAGGAAUAAAUUCUCACUGUGGCCUUUCAGUCUCAAGUCUCACACAACUGUCAAGGACCUCUGAAGGGAAAGGCAGUCCAGGGUCUUUGGAGGCAUAAGAGGAUGGUUGUCCAGGCAAACCAAAAUCUUGACCCAGACGGGAUGAGGCCCAAGAAAAAGUAAAUGAGAAACUAAAUCAAUAGCAAACUAUCUGUGAUAAAAGAAUGUGUAACACCUUUGGACUAUAUGAAAGAAAGGAGUCCAAAAGGAUAUCUGCAGCAUCCUAUACCCAGAACCCAUUGAUUUGGAAAGCAAUGGGGAGAGAAUAGAGAAGAAGUAACAGAAUCUCAUAAACUCUUCAACGUUUUUGGUUCAAACACCUUUUGCCUUCUAGGCCCCAGGGUAAAUUCCUUGGAACUAUGUCGCAAGACGUCCUCCCCUGCUAGCCUGUCCACUUACCAUCCAGUGAAGAGAACACCAGGAGGGUCAUGAGACAAGAUCAACAUAGAUACCCAGGGUCUGCUGUUAGGACAGGACAUCCAGCGAACCCUGGGCCGCCAAAGCGGAGCACACAAACUUAACCACUUGGCCAUGGGGCUUGCCCCAGUAUGUUACUUUUUAUAAUAAAAAUAAAGAAUACUAUCUUCAAUUUAAAAAUAAUUAAAAUCGAUGUCUGUGAUUUUAGAUGGGAGCAUAUUAUUUAUAAUCUUAACUUUACUGAAUAUGUAUUUGACACAAAGAAAAGAAUGUUAUCUGGGCAUAAAUUAUAUCCUAUUGUUCUGUUAAGAGAAUAACAAUGGAGGUAAAGAGGUCAACUUCAAAGGGACAAAAGCCCAAAUGUGAUAGCCAGCAAAGGAUCAUAAUGGGAUAUUUCAAAUGUGCAAUUUCCUACCUUCUGC
rnacentral:lncRNA from 1 species